GACGAACGCUGGCGGCGUGCCUAAUACAUGCAAGUAGAACGCUGAAGGAGGAGCUUGCUUCUCUGGAUGAGUUGCGAACGGGUGAGUAACGCGUAGGUAACCUGCCUGGUAGCGGGGGAUAACUAUUGGAAACGAUAGCUAAUACCGCAUAAUAUUGACUAUUGCAUGAUAGUCAGUUGAAAGGUGCAACUGCACCACUACCAGAUGGACCUGCGUUGUAUUAGCUAGUUGGUGGGGUAACGGCUCACCAAGGCGACGAUACAUAGCCGACCUGAGAGGGUGAUCGGCCACACUGGGACUGAGACACGGCCCAGACUCCUACGGGAGGCAGCAGUAGGGAAUCUUCGGCAAUGGACGGAAGUCUGACCGAGCAACGCCGCGUGAGUGAAGAAGGGUGUCGGAUCGUAAAGCUCUGUUGUAAGAGAAGAACGAGUGUGAGAGUGGAAAGCUCACACUGUGACGGUAGCUUACCAGAAAGGGACGGCUAACUACGUG
rnacentral:rRNA from 1 species